rnacentral:rRNA from 1 species
UCUAGGACACGCAGCAGGCGCGCAAAUUAUCCCCUGGCAACACUUUGCCGAGAUAGUGACAAUAAAUAACAAUGCAGGGCUCUUACGGGUCUUGCAAUUGGAAUGAGUACAAUUUAAAUCCCUUAACGAGGAUCAAUUGGAGGGCAAGUCUGGUGCCAGCAGCCGCGGUAAUUCCAGCUCCAAUAGCGUAUAUUAAAAUUGUUGCCGUUAAAAAGCUCGUAGUCGAACUUCGGGCUCUGUCAGCCGGUCCGCCUUCUUGGUGUGUACUUGUUUGACGGAGCCUUACCUCCUGGUGAACGGCGAUGUCCUUUACUGGGUGUCGUCGCAAACCAGGACUUUUACUUUGAAAAAAUUAGAGUGUUCAAAGCAGGCCUUUGCCCGAAUACAUUAGCAUGGAAUAAUAAAAUAGGACGCGCGUUCCCAUUUUGUUGGUUUCUGAGAUCGCCGUAAUGAUUAAUAGGGAUAGUUGGGGGCAUUUGUAUUCCGUCGUCAGAGGUGAAAUUCUUGGAUUGCCGGAAGACAAACUACUGCGAAAGCAUUUGCCAAGGAUGUUUUCAUUGAUCAAGAACGAAGGAAGGGGGAUCGAAAACGAUUAGAUACCGUUGUAGUCUCUUCUGUAAACUAUGCCAAUUGGGGAUCGGUACAGGAUUUUUAAUGACUGUAUCGGCACCCGAAGAGAAAUCUUUAAAUGAGGUUCGGGGGGGAGUAUGGUCGCAAGGCUGAAACUUAAAGGAAUUGACGGAAGGGCACCACCAGGUGUGGAGCCUGCGGCUUAAUUUGACUCAACACGGGGAAACUCACCAGGUCCAGACACAAUAAGGAUUGACAGAUUGAUAGCUCUUUCUUGAUCUUGUGGUUGGUGGUGCAUGGCCGUUCUUAGUUGGUGGAGUGAUUUGUCUGGUUAAUUCCGAUAACGAACGAGACCUUAACCUGCUAAAUAGACCAGCCGGCUUUGGCUAGCUGCUGUCUUCUUAGAGGGACUAUCAGCGUUUAGCUGAUGGAAGUUUGAGGCAAUAACAGGUCUGUGAUGCCCUUAGAUGUUCUGGGCCGCACGCGCGCUACACUGACAGAGCCAGCGAGUCUACCACCUUUGCCGGAAGGCAUGGGUAAUCUUGUGAAACUCUGUCGUGAUGGGGAUAGAACAUUGCAAUUAUUGUUCUUCAACGAGGAAUACCUAGUAAGCGUGAUUCAUCAGAUCGCGUGAUAC